AGAGGAUGAAAAUCAGAAGCCAUGGGAGAAGAGAGAACCGUGAGUUCUCAUGGUAAUCCUAUGUUUCGAUUUUUCGUCGAAAUAUCGAUCCAAUCGAGUAAACGUUAUGGAAUCAAUAUAAGGCAUAGAAGCUUGUAACACGAGUCGUGCAAAAAUGAAUGGACCUAGAAGAUAGCGAAGGGUCGAAAGGUGAAAUAAGCUUAUGUUCAUAAGCCUGCGAGGUUAGAGUUGAUAUUCUGUCAGUGGUGUUGAGCAGCUUUGCACAUCUUUGACGGGUCACUGGUGGUCAACUUGGUUUAGUGGUCGUGGCAUGUUGUGUAUUAGUGAAAUCUUUAAUCUUCCGCUGGAUAAAUAUUAAGUUUUUUUUAAAUGUAAUAGAUUUUAAUUGUUCUUUUAAGCUAAAAAGAAAAAGGAAAACUUCAGCA